AUCGUGUUCAUUUCCCUUUGUGUUUACAUGUUUGUAAUCAAACACCCAUAAAACACAUCAAUAACAUUGGACGGGGCACCCUAAAAAGCAUGUUUGAACUUAAUAUUGUCAUGGGCCUCAUCUCAGAGUUAUGUUCGUUUCGGAAGCACUAGUGAAUUUUGGUGGGAGGAUGUGAUAUUGUUCAGCUCCUAACAGAGGUAUAUGCAAGCCACAUUCUGAAAAACGUGUAGGCUCUCCUUACUUCAUAUGCAAACAAACCAAUUUCUGUAAACAUUUUUCCUAAAAGCAGUUCUUGAAGAGAAAUGUACAAAUAAUAGGUACGCUUCCUUAAUUGAUUGUUUUUAAGCCAUGUGCUUGGAGUUUUGCUCAAGAAAAAUAAUGUGUGGAACCCACCUUAUAAAUCAGCCGCCUUAGAAAAAUGUCUGUCUUGGAGGCCAAUUUUUCUCUCCCUUAUCAACAAACCUUUCCCAGUCAAGGUUCAAGCGGGAUGGUGUAGUACAGGCAAGUGGACACAAGGUGGCGCCCUGGGCAGUGGCAAGGAGCAGGCAAAAUGCAGCAGGCUCUGGAUUUGGUUUGAAUGAAGAAUGAGUUCAGUCCCUGUUGAUUGGAGCUGUGGGGUGGAGCUUUGCAGCGUCAGGACCUUGCCACAGAAACAGGCUGUUUAGAUUCCUAUCUAUUUGUUUCACAGGCUAUUGUUUGACCCAGAGAUUUGUCUCCUCUGUGCCCCUGGCUGGGUGAAGUGAGGGCAGACCAGUAGCUGAUUUGCAUCUUGAAGUGCUGUCUAGAACUGGUCAGUCGGGUCUGGGGUCAAGUUUGGGCUUGCUCUUCGUCACCAGCCGCUCCCUAAGUCUUCUUUGUUUAUUGAAAAAAGUUGCAUCCUGGACCGGUUCCCGGCCCAAGCUCUACGUGUCACCACACAAGUCCGGUUGUCUUCAACGGUUCGUCCCCUGACGGUGGUUCUCCGGCUUUCUUCUACUUGUGGACGGAGAACUGGCUCUGUUUCCCUUGACAUCUUGCUUCCAUCUCGACCAUUAUGGGAAGGAAGAGUGGACGAGUUUGUGUUUUCCUGUGGUUCCCCUUUCCUCCUGCAGGCAAGAGUUGGUCCCUCUGGGCCCCCAGCUCCUACCGGGUGUGCCCCCAGCUCUACUGGGAGCCCUCGCUGGUUUUUAGCGUCACCUCUGUACCCUGAAGGUUUCAGCAGGAAGCAGCUUCUGCAUGGACACCUGGGGUUGGUUCGCCUCUGUCGAUGUCUGUAAACUUCUGGAAAUAUCUUCAUUAAAUUCUCUCUAGUCAACUCUUAAAGGUGUUGGCUCUAGUGGCAAGGUUUUGUUUGCUUCACAGAGCCAGAAAAACCCUCUUGGUGCCUCCGUUUCUCUUCUUUUAAAUGAGAGCAUUUAUAUCUGCCUUAUUAAUGAGGAUCCUCUCUAACAACUACUGUAAACCAAGUGACAUCUGAAACCUGUUAACUUCUCUGCACAAGCCUCUGGAAUCGGCAGAGUGAGGGUCACAGACUAGACACUCGGUCCAAUGUCUUCCUUCGUUUAUGGGCAGAUUAAUGAGUGUCUUUAUGCCAAAGCACCAAGGCACACAGAAGGUUGGCACAGCAGUGCCAGCAAACACUGUGACCCUGGUAUCGACUGUGAGGCCAGCCUGCCUUCAGGAGAGCCUCAGGUCCUUAUAAGUGACAUGUGCUGUGUUGCCUGAAGGAUACUAGUUUGUUCCUCCCUCUUUCCCAUCUUGCCGGCUCCUUCCUCCCACCUGCAAAAUCAAUCAAACAAAAACAAAACAAAAACAAACAAACAAACAAAAAACGGAAGCUGCCCAGGUCCAGUUGUUUAUUCGAAGGUACAGCAAAGCCAGGGAGACCAAACAACCUUUAACAGGAGCUCUGUUGGGGACAGGAAGCAGCUUUUAGGUGUCCUUUGCUCCCUUGGUUGGACACUGCGGCCUUCAUGCUCGGUGGCAGCAGCUCAGAAGCCUGUCCCGUCUGACUGCAGAUGAACGUGGCCAUCUCCUGCCACUGUGGGACUGGGACUCCAGUCUGGAACGUUUCUUCUCCAGUCUCUGGGUCUUGAAGCCUCCGAGUUCGUAUGUGAAGAUGAGGAAGUCUUCAUAGCAUGGAGAGAACUAACGGCCCCAACAUCCCCUUAGUUGGACAUUCUGUGAGGCUCUGGGCCAGGAUCGAUUUCUUUAGCUUACAACUACGAAUCCAGACUUAUCCGCCAUCCAUAAAAAUGAUCGGCCUAUAAAGAAUUUACUUUAUGGGUAAAUUGAAUUGUUAGACCAGAAUAUGGUGAUCACUGUGGCCGGCCAUCAUUCACACAGCACAUGUGGGGACUAUUAAAGCUGCACCGUGGGCUGUUAGCUGUGACUUGUGGCCCAGAAUUAAUUCUGACUUUGAAAAGUCUGUCUAUGAGUUUAACAGGUCAUAUAUCAAAUACUUCAGACUGCUUUGCCAGAGCUAGAACAGCAAGGGGGAGACCAGUGAGAAGGAGAAAUGUAGCAUAAACAACAGUAACAUAUCAGGCAGUUCUGCAGCUCCCGGGCAGCUGAGGAUACAUAGUGUUUUUUUUUUUUUUCUUUUGCACAACUUAUUUCGACCCCAGGAUAGGCUCACGGUGGAAGGCAUUGCUAUCAAUAAUAAUCCUGGUUAAGGGGGCUUGCAUUCAGGGUCAUGCCAGCCCCAGGGUUUGAACCUGUCAACCCUUAGCCACGGUUACAGAGAGCAAUUAAAGCCCGUAGAGCCAGGCUUGGUGACACACACUUGUGAUCCCAGCCCUUUGGAAGUUGAAGCAGGAAGAUGGAGGUCGUCCUUAGCUGCAGAGGGUGUUUGAGGCCAGCCAGGGCUAUGCCAGACCCGGUGUCAAACACAGAACAAACCAAAGAACUCAGAGAACUCUCCGUUCUCUCUGCUCUUGAUGUAUACUCAGACUAGAAACAGCCAAGGAUAGGGAGUGAAGGUUAUUCAUUCUUAGUCAGGCUCUCGGGACAGUUGGUCUGAGGUGUUUAACUUGCCCUCAAGCGUUAACAGUCUCUUUACUUGGUAGGUCAUUCUGGGCAGAGAAUCCAAUUGUGGGAGAUCCUUCCCAAGGCCUGAAGCUCUCUGGCUCACUCUCCAAUCUGGCUGCAGCCAGUGCAGUCAGCGCCAAGCUUUGCAAAUCUCCUUGUUUACUGGGUUGAGCUGACCAAAUAUGCAGGUAGGAAGUCAGCCCGAAGGCUCAUCGCUCCCCAACACAGAGGUGGAAGGAGUAAGGUGAACACUGCGUUGGGAGACUCAAUUAGAUCGCAAGGAGGAAGAAAGGUAGCACAAUUGUUGCCGGCCCACAGCAGACCAUGAGGAAUGCUUACUCUCUGUGGCUGAUGGGGUGCGUACACUGGCUAAGACUCAUCUUGAGGACGGAGAAGGAAGCAUCUUGAAAGGGGCUCGUUUUUAAAGCACCUGGGAAUGUUUGUUUCCGGGGUCCGGGCCCCAGCAUGGGGGUCUGCUCUCCCUAUGGUCAUGGACCUCUUGAGACUUUCUCUGGGACUCCCUGGAGUGGAUAUGGUUGCCAGGCAUCCUGAGGGUACCAAGCACAGCUCUCAGCAACCUUCAUUUUUG